GAUGAACGCUGGCGGCGUGCCUAACACAUGCAAGUCGAACGGAGAUUACGGACGGAAGUUUUCGGAUGGAAGACUGUAAUUCUUAGUGGCGGACGGGUGAGUAACGCGUGGGCAACCUGCCCUAUACAGGGGGAUAGUAGCUGGAAACGGCUGGUAAGACCGCAUAAGUCGGUUAAAUCGCAUGAUUUGAUCGGGAAAUGAGCAAUCAGGUAUAGGAUGGGCCCGCGUCCGAUUAGCCAGUUGGCAGGGUAAAAGCCUACCAAAGCGACGAUCGGUAGCCGGACUGAGAGGUCGGACGGCCACAUUGGGACUGAGACACGGCCCAAACUCCUACGGGAGGCAGCAGUGGGGGAUAUUGCACAAUGGAGGAAACUCUGAUGCAGCGACGCCGCGUGAGUGAAGAAGUAUUUCGGUAUGUAAAGCUCUAUCAGCAGGGAAGAUGAUGACGGUACCUGACUAAGAAGCCCCGGCUAACUACGUG
rnacentral:rRNA from 1 species